AGGUUAAAGUGGAAAGUACAUUUUGAAGAAUUUAAAGAAGCACCUAAGUCUUGUGGAAAUACAGGUUGACUGUAUGGGACCACAGAUUUCUGCUCUGGUCCAUCUGUUCUGAUGAAAACCUAGAAAAGGUUUUACUGCUUCACUUCAGUGGCCGAGGUUUGAAGUUAUUCACUGGAGUGGAAAUGCAAGCUUUGCUCUCUAAUUUUAAACACAAUAGAAAAAUUAUUCACACAUUAUUUGUCUUAAUAAUGUCUGUAUCAUGCCAGUUUUUCCAGAGUUAAUCCUUUGCAAUGUCUUUAUGACAACUGUUUUUGCACAUUUCCAUCAUUCAAUGCAAUGAAAACCCAUAUAUCUCGGUAUCGUGAUGCAGAUAAUUCUGUGCACAAAGAGGCACAAGUAUAUUUCACAUGAACUUUGUGUGACUUUAAGAAACUUUUUAGUGAGGCCAAAAUCUUUAGUUAUUUACGAAGCCAUUUAAGG